AUACUCUUUCUUUGCAAGGAAAUGGAAUAACUGGUAAGAUUCCCGAAGCACUAGGAAAUUUAACCAGCUUGACCAUGUUGGAUCUGGAAAAAAACCGUUUGUCUGGAGAAAUACCAGCUUCCCUGGGCAAUCUAAAAAAGCUUCAAUUUCUUUUUUUGAGUCAAAACAAUCUGUCUGGGACUAUCCCUGACUCACUUUCAGGCCUUCCCAACUUGAUUAACCUUCAGCUUGCAUUAAAU
rnacentral:misc_RNA from 1 species